rnacentral:rRNA from 1 species
GACGAACGCUGGCGGCGUGCUUAACACAUGCAAGUCGUACGGUAAGGCCCUUUCGGGGGUACACGAGUGGCGAACGGGUGAGUAACACGUGAGUAACCUGCCCACAACUUUGGGAUAACGCUAGGAAACUGGUGCUAAUACUGUAUAUGUGCUCCUGCUGCAUGGUGGGGGUUGGAAAGCUCCGGCGGUUGUGGAUGGACUCGCGGCCUAUCAGCUUGUUGGUGGGGUAGUGGCCUACCAAGGCGGCGACGGGUAGCCGGCCUGAGAGGGUGACCGGCCACACAGGGACUGAGAGACGGCCCAGACUCCUACGGGAGGAAGAAGUGGGGAAGAUUGCACAAUGCGCGCAAGCCUGAUGCAGCAACGCCGCGUGCGGGAUGACGGCCUUGGGGUUGUAAAACGCUUUCAGCAGGGACGAAGCUUUUUGUGACGGUACCUGAAGAAGAAGCACCGGCUAACUACGUG